GUCUUACACCACACCCAAGGACAGUAGGCAUAGGAGGAAGAAGGUUAAGCUGGCUGUGCUGAAACACUAUAAGAUUGAAACUUUCACUUGAGAAAUUUUCCACAAUACAAUUCAAUUCUGGAGUGAUUCACAGCAUCUCUCACCACCCCACGAAGUCAAUGCCACUUCAUUAUUCUCGUCUGUUCAAAGAUUUAAAAGUGUUUCUUUUCAUUUACAUAAUCAUC
rnacentral:lncRNA from 1 species